GAGUCUAUAACGUAUCAUUUGUUGUAUCCCGUAUGGAGCCAUCUUCUUCGCCCGACAUGCGCUACAAGUAUCCCUACUUGGUCGGCCACCGGUGGGACCGAUGCGCGCCCAGGAAAGUGUGGUGGCGCUACACCAGUUUCCUGAGCAGUACCCGCCUUCUCGUACUGAGAGCUGUUCCCUUUCCUCCUCCAUUUCAGCUGGAGUUUUUUUCUAUCUGAUUUAAGGAAUCCGGAACCGAUCUCAAAGCUUUUUUCAAGAGCAUCGUGUCCCACUCAGAAUAUCUUGAAGUGCCUAGAAUCCCGCUCGUUCUGUUGGCGGCAAUUCCCUAUAGUUGUAAACUAUAGAACGACAAUUCUUUCUUCAGCUGCAACACUUUUUUGCCAUCCCACCUGAUGAGAAUUAUCAAACAGAUGGUUAGCAGAGCCACUUCCGGUC
rnacentral:lncRNA from 1 species